GAUGAACGCUGGCGGCGUGCCUAAUACAUGCAAGUCGAGCGAACAGACGAGGAGCUUGCUCCUCUGACGUUAGCGACGGACGGGUGAGUAACACGUGGAUAACCUACCUAUAAGACGGGGAUAACUGCGGGAAACGGGAGCUAAUACCGGAUAAUAUAUGGAACAGCAUGGUUCAAUAGUGAAAGACGGUUUUGCUGUCACUUAUAGAUGGAUCCGCGCCGCAUUAGCUAGUUGGUAAGGUAACGGCUUACCAAGGCAACGAUGCGUAGCCGACCUGAGAGGGUGAUCGGCCACCCUGGAGCUGAGACGCGGUCCAUACUCCUGCGGGAGGCAGCAGUAGGGUAUCUUCCGCAGUGGUCGGAAGCCUUGCGGAGCGACGCCGCGUGAGUGAUGACGGUCUUCGGAUCGUAAAGCUCUGUUAUGAGUGAAAAACAACUUUGUAAGUAGCUAUGCACGUCUUGACGGUACCUAAUCAGAAAGCCACGGCUAACUACGUG
rnacentral:rRNA from 1 species